GACGAACGCUGGCGGCGUGCUUAACACAUGCAAGUCGAACGGAAAGGCCCUGCUUUUGUGGGGUGCUCGAGUGGCGAACGGGUGAGUAACACGUGAGUAACCUGCCCUUGACUUUGGGAUAACUUCAGGAAACUGGGGCUAAUACCGGAUAGGAGCUCCUGCUGCAUGGUGGGGGUUGGAAAGUUUCGGCGGUUGGGGAUGGACUCGCGGCUUAUCAUCUUGUUGGUGGGGUAGUGGCUUACCAAGGCUUUGACGGGUAGCCGGCCUGAGAGGGGGACCGGCCAAAUUGGGACUGAGAUACGGCCCAGACUCCUACGGGAGGCAGCAGUGGGGAAUAUUGCACAAUGGGGGGAAGGCUGAUGCAGCAACGCCGCGUGCGGGAUGACGGCCUUCGGGUUGUAAACCGCUUUCGCCUGUGACGAAGCGUGAGUGACAGUAAUGGGUAAAGAAGCACCGGCUAACUACGUG
rnacentral:rRNA from 1 species